rnacentral:rRNA from 1 species
UACGUAGGUGGCAAGCGUUGUCCGGAUUUACUGGGCGUAAAGCGCGCGCAGGCGGUUGGCUAAGUCUGGUGUGAAAUCUCCCGGCUCAACUGGGAGGCGUCAUCGGAUACUGGUCGGCUUGAGGGAGGCAGAGGAGAGUGGAAUUCCCGGUGUAGUGGUGGAAUGCGUAGAUAUCGGGAGGAACACCAGCGGCGAAGGCGGCUCUCUGGGCCUUUCCUGACGCUGAGGCGCGAAAGCGUGGGGAGCGAACCGG